UUAUUUUAUAAAAUCUAUACGUUAAAGAAUUUAUAUUUUAGAAAAAAAAAACAAUCAAUUUUUGUUUAAAUUUAUUUAUAUUUUGAACAUCAGAAUUAACAAAAUAUAUACAACGUUGUCUUGUCAUCGAUCCUGAGUAAUACUUUGUUCUAUUUAUCUCCUUAUCACGAGAUAACAACGUAGAGAAAUGAUAAAGCGGUUAAUGUACCAUUCAUCCGUGUUUGGAUUUUACUGUAGUGUUCAUAAAGUUAAAUUUCGCUUUACAUGAUUUAUUUGAAGUUAAGCCGAAUAAAUAAACGUGUACGAUAGGGUGGGAGGUGAUAUCACGAGGAAAUAAAUUCACAUCUGAUAUUUUCGUUUUAGUUUAAUGAUAGACGGAGCAAGAAAUGGGUUUGUGCUUAUCGUUCGACUGUGGGGACUGUGAUUGUGGAGUCAAUCCUUGUUGCCUGGCUCUGAGUGCUUGUUGUCUAAUACCCUGCUGUUGUCCAAAUGCCUGUGGUCGGAAAGAAAAUCCGCCACAGAACAUAAUCAUCCAGCAACCGCCUAUAAUUGUAGACCAACAACCGCCACCACCUGGUUAUCCUUACCCUCCACCUGGAGGAUAUCCUGGUUAUCCCCAUCAACAAUACCCCUACUCAUCGGAUCAAAUGAUGAGAUGAUCGGACUCAAGUAUAUUUAAAGUCUUCUUGUCUAAAUAAGGAUGGGUUGUAAUAUAUCGUGUCGUCCAUGCUGUUGCUGUUGUAUUCCGUGUUUAUGCUGCGAUUGUUGUCCGGACGAUCCCCGACCACCAACCGUAGUGCAUCAUCACCAUGUCAUCCAAGUACCACCAGGCUAUUCCACCAAUAGAAAUGACCCACCUCCGCCUUAUAGAUA